rnacentral:pre_miRNA from 1 species
UUAACUCAACUACGUAUGCAGUUGAAACAGCGCCCCUAGCGGCAAACGUAGGCAAACGUUCCAACUCCAUACAAAAUUGAGUUA